rnacentral:tRNA from 1 species
UAGAAGGUUGUAUAAUGGAAGUACAAAGAGUUUUGGAGUCUUAAGUGUGGGUUCGAAUCCUAUUCUUCUAG